UUGUCUUUUUGCUAUUUCUUAGGCUGCUCCUGCGGCAUAUGGAGAUUCCCAGGCUAGGGGUCUAAUCGGAGCCGUAGCCACUGGCCUACACCAGAGCCACAGCAACGCGGGAGCCGAGCCGCGUCUGCAACCUACACCACAGCUCACGGCAACGCCAGAUCCUAACCCACUGAGCAAGGCCAAGGAUCGAACCCACAACCUCAUGGUUCCUAGUCGGAUUCGUUAACAACUGCGCCACGAUGGGAACUCCAGUAUGACUCUCUUUUUAAGAAACAUCAGAAUAUGUAAAUCCAUAAAAAUACAAGAUGCAGAUCGGCUGUUGCCAGAGUGGGGAGAUUUUACUCCCUUAAUGGUUAAGGAUUUUACUCUGGAGCAAUGGGAAUGUUUUGGAACUAGAUGGAGGUGAUGGUUGCACGCCAUUGUGAAUGUCACUUUAAAAUGACUAACUUUAUGUAAUACUAACGUUGUUUCAAGAAAUUAUUUAAAGGGGGCGGGGGGAAUUGGAAUGCCCUAGCUCCAAAAGGCUUGUUCUUGGGUCUAUUUUUCUACUUGCAUGGUGAUCACUGGUGGUGCUGCUACAUCGCCACCUAGUGGUGAAGGCGAUGUCUGUCUGGAAUUGAGGAUACAUUGCAGGGGGUUCAAUGUUUGAAGCAAGUGAAGACCCAAGCCCUUAACUGAGGCCUCUACUUCACCAGUGCCCAGAGAUGCACAGCGAUAACCUUCAGCCCUCUUGAGCUUUAGACAGGGAAGAAGGACUCUUUCCAGUCCUGGCCCUGAAAUAGUUCUCAAGAAGUCACUGAAUCUGAGAUUUGUCUGUGAACUGGGACCAGCACACCAGGUUUACUCUAAGGGUUCCUGGAGCAUAGAGAAUGCCCGUAGCAGGGAAAGGCUCACCAAGGGUGCGUUCCCUUCCCCAGCCUUCAUCGUUGCUAAAGCUAUUUGGGAUGGACUUGUGAACCCCAACGAGAUGAGCUGGACCUCUGAGGGGGCUCCCCUGCUUCAGAUUGCCAUUGCAAGAAAAAUUAAGAGGCUGGCUGUCUGGAGCAAAGAGAUGGAUCUGGAGAGUAUGAGUACAGGACCCAGAGCAAGAACUACACAAAUGCGAAGCCCAGAGGUGAAAGCAGCAGGACCUGAUCUAACAGGACAGGAAGAGGAAAGGCAAGAUCUAGCAGACAUUUGAGUCACUGCCACAAAUGUUGGCUGGAAGUUCUUAAUCAUUGGGGGCGGGGGGCAAAAUACACAAGGCAAAGUAUUGGGGUAUUUUUGCCAGUGGGUUUGCACGAAAGAGUCCACCUUCACAAAGUGUUCUAUAAAACUGGAAUGGAAGGCCACGGAACUGUGAGAUGUAGUUACAAAAACCACCAGAAAAGACAGACAGGCAAUUGUGGGCUUUUCAAACAACAAGGCCGAAGGCUAUCGGCAGCUCAAAGGGUCAAAUAAGAACGUGGAGGAAGGAGGGUUGUGAAAUGAAUUCAAAACAAAACUGGGAAGAAAACUUACCAGGGCAAAAGGCACAUUUCCCAUGGCAGAAUAUUCAAGAUUUGUAAGGAAAUGUCUCAAAGUGGUGUCAUUUGGCUUCAGAAAACCACAGGAAAUGAAAGCCAGACACUCUUUAAAUACUCUUGAGAACGGGAUGGGUGGAUAGGGGAUCGGCAGAAAAGAAAGUCCUGCCCGUGGGUUCGAGAGCCAGGGAAGCGGGGCUCCCCUUUCUGCAGCUGGCCUUUCUUGCUUCCUGCCGCCCCCUUCUCGGGGAUGACUUUGCUCCUGUUUUUCUGCCACCAAAUCCCCAAAGCCCCCGUCUCCUGUUAGAUGGAGGAACUGCCUCUUCUGACCCCUUCUCGCCUUGCUGCUGGGCCCUCACUCCCCUGCUCUCUCAGACUUUUUCUCUCUGUGAAGCCUUUCCCAUUUUCUUCUUUUUUUCUUUUAGGAAGUUCCCAGGCUAGGGGGUCAAAUGGGAGCUGCCGCUGCUGGCCUACGUCACAGACACAGCAACACGGGAUCCUUCAUCCACUGAGCGAGGCCAGGGAUGGAACCCGCAUCCUCAUGGGUACUAGUUAGGUUCAUAACCUACUGAGCCACAGUGGGAGCUCCCUCCUGUCUUUAUUCAAACGUUGAACGCCUUUCCUCUAACAAGCAAACCACAGACAGUACAAAAACCCUCCUUUUGAGCCCACAUUUCCUACCAUUUUCUACCUUAGCAUCGUUGCUCCCCGUCUCAGCCCAGCUGCCCUCACUCCUCUCCCCCCCUCCGCCUCCUGCCUCCCCUUCGGCCAGUUCCAGGGUGUCUCCUGCUGCUCUCCCACUGAGGUGCCAGGAGCCUCCAAGGAGCCC
ensembl:lncRNA